UGGGGAAUUUUCCGCAAUGGGCGAAAGCCUGACGGAGCAAUACCGCGUGAGGGAGGACGGCUUUUGGGUUGUAAACCUCUUUUAUCAGGGAAGAAGAUCUGACGGUACCUGAUGAAUCAGCAUCGGCUAACUCCGUGCCAGCAGCCGCGGUAAUACGGAGGAUGCAAGCGUUAUCCGGAAUUAUUGGGCGUAAAGCGUCCGUAGGUGGCUAAUCAAGUCUGCUGUCAAAGCGUGGAGCUUAACUCCAUAUCGGCGGUGGAAACUGAUGAGCUAGAGUGCGAUAGGGGUAGCAGGAAUUCCCAGUGUAGCGGUGAAAUGCGUAGAGAUUGGGAAGAACACCAGCGGCGAAAGCGUGCUACUGGGUCUGCACUGACACUGAGGGACGAAAGCUAGGGGAGCGAAAG
rnacentral:rRNA from 1 species